AGAGACAGCAGCAGCCGCGGUAAUACGGAGGGUGCGAGCGUUAAUCGGAAUUACUGGGCGUAAAGCGUACGCAGGCGGUUUGUUAAGUCAGAUGUGAAAUCCCCGGGCUUAACCCGGGAACUGCAUUUGAAACUGGCAGGCUAGAGUCUCGUAGAGGGGGGUAGAAUUCCAGGUGUAGCGGUGAAAUGCGUAGAGAUCUGGAGGAAUACCGGUGGCGAAGGCGGCCCCCUGGACGAAGACUGACGCUCAGGUACGAAAGCGUGGGGAGCAAACAGGAUUAGAUACCCCUGUAGUCCCUGUCUCUUAUAC
rnacentral:rRNA from 1 species